rnacentral:rRNA from 1 species
UACGGAGGGUGCAAGCGUUGUCCGGAUUUAUUGGGUUUAAAGGGUGCGUAGGCGGCCUUUUAAGUCAGUGGUGAAAGCCCGCGGCUCAACCGCGGAACUGCCAUUGAUACUGGAAGGCUUGAGUACAGACGAGGUGGGCGGAAUUGAAGAUGUAGCGGUGAAAUGCUUAGAUAUCUUCAAGAACACCGAUUGCGUAGGCAGCUUACUAGGCUGUAACUGACGCUGAGGCACGAAAGCGUGGGGAGCAAACAGG